rnacentral:rRNA from 1 species
AGUCCGAGCGGAUUUCACGGGAGCUUGCUCUGUGACUUCAGCGGCGGACGGGUGAGUAACACGUGGGCAACCUGCCUGUAAGACUGGGAUAACUUCGGGAAACCGGAGCUAAUACCGGAUAACUCUUCGGACCACAUGGUCCGAAGAUAAAAGAUGGUUCUGCUAUCACUUACAGAUGGGCCCGCGGCGCAUUAGCUAGUUGGUGAGGUAACGGCUCACCAAGGCGACGAUGCGUAGCCGACCUGAGAGGGUGAUCGGCCACACUGGGACUGAGACACGGCCCAGACUCCUACGGGAGGCAGCAGUAGGGAGUCUUCUGCAAUGGACGAAAGUCUGACGGAGCAACGCCGCUUGAGCGAUGAAGGCCUUCUGGUCGUAAAGCUUUGUUGUUAGGGAAGAAUAAGUAUCAGUUAAC